UUUAUCACGUAUCCAUGUUCG
rnacentral:piRNA from 1 species